AAGAUAUGCUUGAAUCAAAAGAAUUCCUUUUUUGAAGUUCAAUUUUUAUCAGAGGACAAUAUGAAUAUUACACCAUGUUCCAUUAAAAACACUCAGAGGGGUAUAUGAUAUAUCGGGUGUAGAAGUAGGGCAACACUUCUAUUGGCAAAUAGGAGGUUUCCAAAUUCAUGCCCAAGUACUCAUCCUUCUUGGUCGUAAUUACUAUUUUGCUAGGUUCAGUUAUCAUAGCUGUUCGGAAUCCACAAACCAUCCCGACACGAUGGUCAGAAUUUCUUCGAAUAUGUCCUUGAGUUUAUUCGAGACUUGAGCAAAAACUCAGAUUGGAGAAGAAUAUGGUCCCUGGGUUCCCUUUAUUGGAACUAUGUUCCUUUUUAUUUUGUUUCGAAUUGGUCAGGUGCUCUUUACCUUGGAAAAUUAUAGAGUUACCCCAUGGGGAAUUAGCGCGCCCACGAAUGAUAUAAAAUACUACUGUUGCUUUAGCUUUACUAACAUCAGCGGCAUAUUUUAUGCGGGUCUUAGCAAAAAAGGAUUGAGUUAUUUCGAAAAAUAUAUUAAACCAACCCAAUCCUUUACCUAUUAACAUCCUAGAAGAUUUCACAAAACCUUAUCACUUAGUUUUCGACUUUUCGGAAAUAUAUUGGCGGAUGAAUUAGUCGUUGUUGUUCUUGUUUCUUAGUCCCCUUAGUAAGUCCUAUAUCCGGUCAUGUUUCUUGGAUUAUUUACAAGCGGUAUUCAAGCUCUUAUUUUUGCAACGUUAAGCCGCAGCCUAUAUAGGUGAAUCCAUGGAAAGGUCCAUCAUUGAAUUAACUAGUUUUUGAAAUAGUCCUUUCUUUGUUUAGCUUAGCCCAAUUCAAUGCAUUGAUUCCCGGAUAAAUCCUCUUAGUUGGAAAAACUAAAUAGUUCGAAAGGCGUAUGAAUAUACAACCUAGAGUUGUAGGAGAGAGAAUAGACUAUAUUAUGGAAGAGGUAAAGUAUAUAUGCAUUCAGGGGGGCCAAGUCAGGUUAGAAUCUAUAUCUUUAAUGCCUAUAAGACAGUCAUCUUUUGUGUGGCUUUCUAAGAAUUGAUUGUAGAAUCGGAUUCAAUAGAAAAUGAGAAAAAUAGGCAAACAAAAUAGAAGAAACAAAUGUAUAUAGGGGAUUUUUUUUUAUUCCUAAGUUAGAUUCAUUAUCUAAUCCGAUAUAUAGAAUUCCCUUCUAUAUGGAACUGGAUUCCAUAUCUAGUUCUAUGCAGCUAUAUUGUUAUCAAUUGUAUAUCUUGAUUUGAUUCCUAUUGGAUUUGGAUUAGUUCGAUUUCAAUAGGGGUCUUCCUGUAUUUCGUCUUUUAUUAUGUUAGAUGAAGGGGAAAAAAUGGGAACUCAAAGAUAUCGAAGAGUAAAAAAAAGGAUGGAAUAAAAGAGUGAUUGGUUGAAAAGAAAGAGAAAAUAGAAUAAUGAGAAUCAUAUGGAUUUACACAAACCUCUAAUGAUUAGAAACUAAAAACGAGAUCUCGAAGUAAUUCGAACGAUUUCGAUUAUCAUUUAUUUGUACUUAUUAGUUACUUCUACCCGAUAGAGCUUAGAAGUUGGAAGUAAUAAUUUCUUGGUUGAUAUGUAUCCUUAACCAUUUCUUUUUUUUUUGACACGAGGAACUCAUCAUGAAUCCACUAAUUGCUGCUGCUUCCGUUAUUGCUGCUGGAUUGGCCGUAGGGCUUGCUUCUAUUGGGCCCGGAGUUGGUCAAGUACUGCUGCAGGACAAGCUGUAGAAAGGUAUGUGCGAGACAGCCAGAGACAGAAGGUAAAAUAAGAGGUACUUUAUUGCUUAGUCUAGCUUUUAUGGAAGACUUUAACAAUUUAUGGACUGGUUGUGCACUAGCGCUUUUAGUUUGCGAACCCUUUUGUUUUAAUCCUAAAAAAGAAAAUGAGUCCUUUAGAUUAGAUACUUUUUCUCUUUUUUUAGUACAUUGGCAUUUGCUUAUGUAAUUCUAAGUAUAUCAAUACUUUACUUUACUCCUAUUUAUUAUAUUAUUUCUUUUUAUAUUAUUCCGGAAAUUUUGUAUUUAUCGGGGACAGACAAUACCCUAGGAACCCCAAGAAGGGCUGAUUUGAGCAUGAUCAAUUUAGAAGGAUAUGCUCGCCCUCUUCCUUCCCGUGCCUUAGUUUUAGGACAGUGGAAAAGUAUUUUUUCCUUUUAUUUUAGGAAUUUUGGGGAACAUUUCAACAAAGGAGAUCUUUCACAGGUCAACGAGAACCUAAGACUUAAUCUAAAAGAAAUUAUUAGAUUGAAUCUAUUUGCAUUAAGAAAAAACGAUCAAAAAAGGACGAGCGAAGUAAGUAAUCGAAAAACUUUCUUCUUUGGUUCGUCCUAUCUAUAAGAGGAGAGCAUAUGAAAAAUGUAACCCAUUCUUUUGUUUUUUAGCUCACUGGCCAUUCGCUGGGAGUUUCGGGCUUAAUACCGAUAUUUUAGCAACAAAUCUAAUAAAUCUAACUGUAGUGGUUGGUGUAUUGAUUUUUUUUUGAAAGGGAGUGUGUGCGAGUUGUCUAUUUCAAGAAUAGAUUGGAUCUAUCCGGCUGCACUUUUAGAUAUUUUUAGUAUUUUUUUGAUAAAUAAGAAAAGGUGCACGAUCUCGACGAAUUACUUCUGAUAACUUCAGAAUCAUAUGGAAGAACAUAGCAUUUCGCGAUUCAUUGGUAAAUUUACUUUGAUUCUCUAUAUGACCAAUAAUGUGAGACCAUUAACACGGUUAAAGCUAAACUGCUUGAAGUCCGGGCAAAAAGGGGUACUCUUUCUACAACUACAUUAGUAUUAGUCUCGAAAUGCUUUAAACGGGAAAUAGCUAGUGUAGAAUUUAUCUGAUAUAGAACACUCAUAUCGAUAAAAUAGUUUGAACUAUUUACUAGAAGGGCACGCAGCCCUUUUUCCAAUGCCAAAUCGACGACCUAUGUAUAAAAAAAAGAGAAUUUUUGGAUUUGAAGAAAAAAUAAAAAGGAAUUCUAUCAAUUUUAUUUUCCAUUUAUUUAGUUAGUUUUUCUAAGAAAUUGAAAUUAUUAACUAAAACAGAGCAAACACAAAUAAGAACAACUUUGCUGACCAUGAUAGAUUUUAUCUAGUUGGAAGAGUCCUCUAAUAUCAUCUAGUCUUAUAUAAGUUGGGUAUAUAGAAAUACAAACAGAAAGAGAGGAUAGAGGAUAGGCUCAUUACAUAAAAAAAGAUAUGGAAAUAGCCAUAAUACAUAUACAAAAAAAGAAAAAAGGAGCGGGAGAGCCAAAUGAAUCGAAAGAUUCAUGUUGGUUCGGGAAGAGAUCAUAAAAAUUGUAAACUUAAUAGCAAGAUAAUCUACUUUCAUUAAAAGAUUUAUUAGAUAAGUCGAAACAGAGGAUUUUAAGUACUAUUCGAAAUUCGGAAGAAUUGCGUAAAGGGACCCUUGAACAACUCGAAAAAGCUCGUAUUCGAUUACAGAAAGUCGAACUGGAAGCAGAUGAGUAUCGAAUGAAUGGAUACUCUGAAAUAGAACGAGAAAAAGAAAAUUUGAUUAAUGCUACUUCUAUUAGUUUGGGAACAAUUAGAAAGUCUAAAAACGAAACCCUUUAUUUUGAAAAACAAAGGGCGAUGAAUCAGGUCCGACAACGGGUUUUCCAACAAGCUGUACAAGGAGCUCUAGGAACUCUGAAUAGUUGUUUUGAAUACCGAGUUACAUUUCCGUACGAUUCGUGCUAAUAUUGGCAUUCUCGGGGCCAUAGAAUGGAAGAGAUAAUUCAAUUUAUUAGGUUUUGAACUUCUACUUUUGUUUAAGAUUUAGGCAUUAUUUUUCCCUUGCUUCCAAAAAAAAAAAAUUAAAGAAACACUAAUGGCAACCCUUCGAGUCGACGAAUUAAUAAAAUUCUCCGCGAACGUAUUGAACAAUAUAAUAGAAAGUAGGGAUUGAGAAUAUCGGUCGCGUAGUGCAAGUGGGGAUGGAUUGCUCGUAUUAUAGGUCUUGGUUGAAUAAUGUCAGGUGAAUUAGUCGAAUUUGCAGAAGGGACGAGAGGUAUUGCUCUGAAUUUGGAAUCUAAAAAUGUUGGGAUUGUAUUAAUGGGCGAUGGGUUGAUGAUACAAGAGGGAAGUUUUGUAAAAGCAACAGGAAGAAUUGCUCAGAUACCCGUGAGCGAGGCUUACUUGGGUCGUGUUAUAAAUGCUCUCGCUAAACCUAUUGAUGGGAGAGGCGAAAUUGUCGCUUCAGAAUCUCGCUUAAUUGAAUCUCCUGCUCCGGGUAUAAUUUCUAGGCGUUCCGUAUAUGAACCCCUUCAAACAGGGCUUAUUGCUAUCGAUUCGAUGAUCCCCAUAGGGCGCGGUCAGCGAGAGUUAAUUAUUGGGGACAGACAGACUGGCAAAACAGCAGUAGCCACAGAUACAAUUCUCAAUCAAAAAGGUCAAGAUGUAAUAUGUGUUUAUGUAGCUAUCGGUCAAAGAGCAUCCUCCGUGGCUCAAGUAGUACUACUUUCCACGAAGAGGGGCCAUGGAAUACACUAUUGUAGUAGCUGAAAUGGCGGAUUCACCCGCUACAUUACAAUAUCUCGCUCCUUAUACGGGAGCAGCCCUGGCUGAGUAUUUUAUGUACCGCGAACGGCAUACCUUAAUAAUUUAUGAUGAUCUCUCAAACAGGCACAAGCUUAUCGCCAAAUGUCCCUUCUAUUAAGAAGACCUCCCGGCCGCGAAGCUUAUCCAGGGAUGUUUUUAUUUGCAUUCACGCCUUUUAGAAAGAGCCGCUAAUUAAUUCUCUUUUAGGCGAAGGAGUAUGACCGCUUUACCAAUAGUGGAGACUCAAUCUGGAGACGUUUCCGCCUAUAUUCCUACUAAUGUAAUUUCAAUUACAGAUGGACAAAUAUUCUUAUCCGCGGAUCUAUUCAAUGCCGGAAUUCGACCUGCUAUUAAUGUGGGUAUUUCAGUUUCCAGAGUAGGAUCCGCAGCUCAAAUUAAAGCCAUGAAACAAGUAGCUGGCAAAUCAAAAUUGGAACUAGCUCAAUUCGCAGAAUUACAAGCCUUUGCACAAUUCGCCUCCGCUCUGGAUAAAACAAGUCAGAAUCAAUUGGCAAGGGGUCGACGAUUACGGGAAUUGCUUAAACAAUCCCAAUCAAACCCUCUCCCAGUGGAAGAGCAGGUAGCUACUAUUUAUACCGGAACGAGAGGAUAUCUUGAUUCGUUAGAAAUUGAACAGGUAAAGAAAUUUCUGGAUGAGUUACGUAAACACCUAAAAGAUACUAAACCUCAAUUCCAAGAAAUUAUAUCUUCUAGUAAGACAUUCACCGAGCAAGCAGAAACCCUUUUGAAGGAAGCUAUUCAGGAACAGCUUGAACGGUUUUCCCUUCAGGAACAAACAUAAUAUAGCAUGUCUACUCUUAUUAGUAUAACUCGUGUUAGUAGAAGAGGAAUCAAAGAUUUUUCAUUUGAAUCAUGCAAAAUUUUUUUUCGUUUUAGUAUAGUUAUUAAAGAAUAGAUAGAAAAAAGAUUGCGUCCAAUAGGAUUUGAACCUAUACCAAAGGUUUAGAAGACCUCUGUCCUAUCCAUUAGACAAUGGACGCUUCUCUUUCUUAUUUUAUUCUUUCUUUUUUAUAUUUCAGAGAAAUAAUAAAAAACUGUUAGACCGAAACUCUUUUAGGAAAGAAAAACAAAUCCAUAUACCAUAUACAAAUGGAUGAUACAUAUAUCAUAAAGAAGGAAUAUGGAGCAGGUAGUCAGUAUCGAACC